GGAGAGCUCGGCGUGAGGGGAGCGGGCCGGCAGCCUGGGGAAGCUGUCUGUCUGCUCCUGCCUCUGCAUCCAGGGCCUCUCUGAGCAAAAGUGGUGUCCAUCAUAGACCCCCACACGGUUUGCAGAGCACCCAGAAGCGAGAGGAACAGAUAGAAGUUAUGAUUGCAGCAAGCACCAGAAUUCCUCACCUCCUCCCACCACUAAAACCCAGCCAUGGGCAUCUUCACUCCCCUGCAGCCUUCAAACACACUACACACAGCCAAAAGGAGAGAAAGAAAGAAGGUAAACAAACAUUUUAAUUACAUUGCAGCUGUGCAAUCAGUGAAUGAGCAAUAUUUAAGAAGACACAAGCUAGUCUGUGAUAAAGGGAUUCAGUUCCCUGCAUUACAAGGAUUUGCUCUCCAAAGACAACACCACUUGCAUCACAUAUGUUAAAAAUACACACAGGCUGAUCACAGAGCUCAGGUUAUUAAACACUUCCACAAAGUUGCUGUUCUCCCUUACUGGAAGUUAAGAGAAUUAGCACAAGGUUCCCAAGAUUCUUCAAAGAAAGGGGAAGUGCAAUGGACCCCAAAGGCAUGGCUGGAUAGGAGCACUCAUGUCUCCUCACUCCUGCAGGCACAAGAACAACUUCUGCUGUGCCAGCUGACUGCCCUCCCUUCCUCCCCACCUCUGAAAAAGCCUCCCAGGCUUGUCCUGAGGUGCAAAAUCAAAGCAUAUUUCUACAAUAUAUAUCACAAUCAUAUAGAGUGUGCAGUAGAUCAACAGCAAAACAGGAUCAACAGCCCUUAGAAGGUAUCUAACUUUCAAUUUGCAAAGCUUCUAGAGACAACAUUCAUUUCCACCCUGCAAGAAACAAGUACUUGCUUCUUGCUAUACAGAGCGACUCAAGUCAGCACUGAAGAAAAUAAAGAUUACAUAGAAAAUAAGAAGUUGGCACUUCUGUUUGCUUUCUUGUUUGACAUUGCCA